GUCGUCGGUCGCCGGAUUGAAAAAACUUAUCUCGAAACACAAAUCCAAUACACUGAUGAUAUUCGUUUCUAAUUGAAUUAUAACAGAUGUUUCUUAUAAUCUUGCAUACGUAGUUAUGAUCGGAUUUUGAGACUGCCGAUGGAUGUUAGACGUGAAAAAGGAUAAUGCGAGUGAAAAAGAAAGAGGGACUAGGAGUCGAAACGUUUGGCUUCCAUAUGAAAUAAUAGGAAGGAAAUCUUUAACUGAAAUAUCAAACUUUUUUAUUUUUCAUUUGUGAUGAAUAGAACCUUUAUCAACAUGUUUUUUACGCGUUUCUGUUUGCUAUAAUUUGCGAACAUAUUCGCUUACUUCAUAAAUAAUAAUUAAAUACAUAUCAGUAAGUAAAUA